GGGGCCGUAGCUCAGCCUGGGAGAGCACACGACUGAAGCUCGUGGUGUCGCUGGUUCAAAUCCGGCUGGCCCCA
rnacentral:tRNA from 1 species